UACAGAGGAUGCAAGCGUUAUCCGGAAUCAUUGGGCGUAAAGCGCGUGUAGGCGGUUCAGUAAGUCUGCUGUGAAAGUCCAGGGCUCAACCCUGGGAUGCCGGUGGAUACUGCUGGGCUAGAGUACGGAAGAGGCGAGUGGAAUUCCCGGUGUAGCGGUGAAAUGCGCAGAUAUCGGGAGGAACACCAAUUGCGAAGGCAGCUCGCUGGGACGUCACUGACGCUGAGACGCGAAAGCGUGGGGAGCAAACAGG
rnacentral:rRNA from 1 species